rnacentral:rRNA from 1 species
GACGAACCGUGCGACCGUUGUUCGGAUUCACUGGGCUUAAAGGGCGCGUAGGCGGGCCAGCAUGUCCGGGGUGAAAUCUUUCGGCUUAACCGGAAAAGGGCUUCGGAAACGGCUGGUCUUGAGGGAGGUAGGGGCAGGUGGAACUUCCGGUGGAGCGGUGAAAUGCGUUGAGAUCGGAAGGAACGCCGGUGGCGAAAGCGACCUGCUGGACCUCUUCUGACGCUGAGGCGCGAAAGCCAGGGGAGCAAACGGG